UGUCGAGCCUUUGCAGGAGGUCAGUGGGGAUUCAGAUGAGAAGCCUCACACGUGCCAAGGGAUGUGCACCUGAGGCUGAGAGCAUUUUAUCACGCACUGCCUGCGUUACACAGGGAGGGAGACGAUGCAGUCAUGGGGCAGGAAGGUGAGCUGGCAUCUCUGAGGGAUGACGUCUCCUCCUGUGUUGGCACCAGGGAUUUUGUCCUAAUGCAGCUGUGUGCAUGCGGCAAAGCUCCCGCAGCUGUGACUCUAAUUCUUCUUGCUUCCCAUGAUGGGAGGAGCCCACUGAUGAAUUUUGGCAGGCUGGCUUCAGGCAGAAGCAGCACUCGCUGACUUGGCCUGUGUUGGGUGAGUGCCUCUCCAAGGAGGUGAGCUUCUGUCACCUUCACUGGCAUCUUCACCAGUUUGCAAUACCUCCCAAGGAGGCCGUGCUGCUAAAGCUCUCUACUCCCAACCCUCUGCACCCCAGGCGUGGGUCCUGCCUUGCUCUCUGCCUCACUCCAACAGCAGCGAAAUUCCUUUUUUAUUAUUUUUUAAAGAUAACAGCAGAAUUAUACAUAGCGACAGUCUGUCGGCAGGGAGGAAGACGUAUUUCCCGAGGAAGCUCUUGCUGGUGCGUGUUAGGAUCAUGGAUGUAUAAAUACUGAGCAGCCAGUUAAUUUCAGUGAGCUUUUGGGACAAUGGAAGCUCUUCGGUGGAUUUGCAAAAUACCUGGCUGGCACGUGGUAGCAGGGGAAUGCGAGAAUGGGACCUCACCGAGGGCAAAUAUUAAAACAGAGGAUGAAAGUUUGAGAGAAGCAGUGAUGAAAAGUUCAGAAAGGUCGGUUGUAUGGGGGCUGUACAAGGCUGUGAAGAGACAGCUAAUACUAUAGGGCUCGAACAGUGGAUUCCAGCAGGGAAUUCAGCUGCCCGGUGGAUUCAAGCAGUUCUGUAGCUGCCCAAAGACACCCAGAAUCCAAGGUACAUGUGCAGAGCAACUCAGCCUGGUUUCUCUUUGUGAACCAUGAGGAAAAAUACUAUUUAGUGGUUCAACCAUCAGAUCUGCAGUGAGGAUCUGGGUGCUUCACCUCUACUUGCAAAGCACCCCCCUGCCCCUGCCAUGUCCCAGGGCAGCAGCCCCAGCACCAACAUGGCUCAAGAGCUGUCAAACAAGCUGACAAGCCCUGUAUAUCUGGGGCAUCUCUUCAAGGCAGCGUGUGGUCGUCAACCUCUGCAGCCUCCAGAUGAGUCCCCACACAUUGCUGCACCCUGCUCAGUGUGCAGAGUGUCGUCUGGAGAGGACAGGGUACAUUUACAGAACAUUUUGACACCUCCUAAUGAAGAGGUUAUAAAUAGAGAAGAAGGGUUAUCAGUCUUUCCAUUUAUGCUUGACUAGGUCUGCUUAUGUAUUUUGGAACAGCAGCAAAGCUUUACCAUAGAGGGAGAGAAAAAGGGAUGUUUGCCCUUGAAAAUAAAACAUUGGAGGUCUCUCACCAAAGCCCCAGGUGAACUGGGGACUGGGUGUGCUGGGCCACCCCACAUCUGGCUCUGUGAUGUGAAGCAGAGCCCAUAGCAAGGACCCUGGACACCAUCUCUUGUAUUUGUAGAUCUAGGACACAGUCCUUGUCCCAGAGAGUUUGCGGUCCCAUGAGAUACCUCUCUGCUAGUAGGCAUGAAGGACCAACAUAAAUGAUCAUAGAAUCAUAGAAUCAUAGAAUAUCCUGAGUUGGAAGGGACCCUUAAGGAU